CAAGUCGAACGGAAAGGCCCCUAGCUUGCUGGGGGUACUCGAGUGGCGAACGGGUGAGUAACACGUGGGUGAUCUGCCCUGCACUUCGGGAUAAGCUUGGGAAACUGGGUCUAAUACCGGAUAUGAACGGUCUUUGGUGUGAUUGUUGGAAAGAUUUUUUCGGUGUGGGAUGAGCUCGCGGCCUAUCAGCUUGUUGGUGGGGUAAUGGCCUACCAAGGCGUCGACGGGUAGCCGGCCUGAGAGGGUGUACGGCCACAUUGGGACUGAGAUACGGCCCAGACUCCUACGGGAGGCAGCAGUGGGGAAUAUUGCACAAUGGGCGCAAGCCUGAUGCAGCGACGCCGCGUGGGGGAUGAAGGCCUUCGGGUUGUAAACUCCUUUCGCUAGGGACGAAGCCUUUUUUAAGGUGACGGUACCUGGAUAAGAAGCACCGGCUAACUACGUGCCAGCAGCCGCGGUAAUACGUAGGGUGCAAGCGUUGUCCGGAAUUACUGGGCGUAAAGAGCUCGUAGGUGGUUUGUCGCGUCGUCUGUGAAAUUCCGGGGCUUAACUCCGGGCGUGCAGGCGAUACGGGCAUAACUUGAGUGCUGUAGGGGAGACUGGAAUUCCUGGUGUAGCGGUGAAAUGCGCAGAUAUCAGGAGGAACACCGAUGGCGAAGGCAGGUCUCUGGGCAGUAACUGACGCUGAGGAGCGAAAGCAUGGGUAGCGAACAGGAUUAGAUACCCUGGUAGUCCAUGCCGUAAACGGUGGGCGCUAGGUGUAGGGGGCUUCCACGUCUUCUGUGCCGUAGCUAACGCAUUAAGCGCCCCGCCUGGGGAGUACGGCCGCAAGGCUAAAACUCAAAGGAAUUGACGGGG
rnacentral:rRNA from 1 species